rnacentral:rRNA from 1 species
AACGAACGCUGGCGGCGUGGAUUAGGCAUGCAAGUCGAACGCGAAAGAGGGAGCAAUCCCUCAAGUAGAGUGGCGAACGGGUGAGUAACGCGUGAAGAACCUGCCUUCAACAGGGGGAUAACACUCCCAACGGGGUGCUAAUACCGCAUGAGACCACGGGUCCGCAUGGACCUGAGGUCAAAGGUGGCCUCUGCUUGCAAGCUACCGGUUGAAGAUGGCUUCGCGUCCCAUUAGCUAGUUGGCGGUGUAAAAGACCACCAAGGCGACGAUGGGUAGCUGGUCUGAGAGGAUGGUCAGCCACACUGGGACUGAGAUACGGCCCAGACUCCUACGGGAGGCAGCAGUCGAGAGGCUUUGGCAAUGGGGAAACCCUGACCAAGCGACGCCGCGUGGAGGAUGAAGGCCCUUGGGUUGUAACUCCUUUGUCGGGGAAGAAAUGCGAUCAGGUAAACAAUCUGGUCGUUUGACGGUACCGGCGAAUAAGCUCCGGCUAACUCCGUGCCAGCA